UACGUAGGGUGCGAGCGUUAAUCGGAAUUACUGGGCGUAAAGCGUGCGCAGGCGGUUGUGCAAGACAGAUGUGAAAUCCCCGGGCUCAACCUGGGAAUUGCGAUGGAGACUGCAAGGCUAGAAUCUGGCAGAGGGGGGGUAGAAUUCCACGUGUAGCAGUGAAAUGCGUAGAGAUGUGGAGGAACACCGAUGGCGAAGGCAGCCCCCCUGGGUCAAGAUUGACGCUCAUGCACGAAAGCGUGGGGGAGCAAACAGG
rnacentral:rRNA from 1 species